UUCAACUUCCACUGCUGUUACAUUUCCACUUCCAAUGCUGUUAUAUAAUUUACCUGCAAAUCAGCCUGAAAUUACUCAUGAGUAAGUAUUGUGGGGUGUUACAUUCCCGGAUCCCCCUACACACCCCAGUCGCUACGUUACUGUGCAAAACAGCUAGUUCAAUAGAUUUUUAUACCUCUUUUCCACGUUAAAUUAAUUAUUACACGCUCAUG